rnacentral:rRNA from 1 species
UACGGGGGGGGCAAGCGUUGUUCGGAAUUACUGGGCGUAAAGGGCUCGUAGGCGGCCAACUAAGUCAGACGUGAAAUCCCCAGGCUCAACCUGGGAACUGCGUCUGAUACUGGAUGGCUUGAAUCCGGGAGAGGGAUGCAGAAUUCCAGGUGCAGCGGUGAAAUGCGUAGAUAUCUGGAGGAAUACCGGUGGCGAAGGCGGCAUCCUGGACCGGCAUUGACGCUGAGGAGCGAAAGCUAGGGGAGCAAACGGG